rnacentral:tRNA from 1 species
CGCCAGGUCUCGCGCUGGAACGGCGCGGCCUUCCAGCCGCGGCCGGCAAACAGGUUGGCCAGGGGCGCGUCCCAGCCGCGCUUGGGCGCCC